rnacentral:rRNA from 1 species
GAUUAAUGCUGGCGGUAUGCCUAAUACAUGCAAGUCGAACGAGGCAAUAUACUUUAUUGUCGAGUGGCGAACGGGUGAGUAACACGUAUUUAACCUACCUUUAAGUUGGGGAUAGCCACUGGAAACAGUGAUUAAUACCGAAUAUCUUCUGAGAACAAAUGUUUUCAGAACGAAAGGAACAAGUGGAAUGCUUUUCCACAGGUUUCGCUUUUAGAUGGGAGUGCGUUGCAUUAGAUAGUUGGUAGGGUAACGGCCUACCAAGUCAACGAUGCAUAGCCGGACUGAGAGGUUGAACGGCCACACUGGGAUUGAGAUACGGCCCAGACUCCUACGGGAGGCAGCAGUAAGGAAUUUUUCACAAUGGGCGCAAGCCUGAUGAAGCAAUACCGCGUGAUCGAUGACGGUUUUUGGAUUGUAAAGAUUUGUGGUAGAGGAAGAAUGGAUAAAUGAGGAAAUGCAUUUAUUUUUGACGGUACUUUGCUAGAAAGCCAUGACUAAUUACGU